ACCCAACCGCGGCGACCAGACGUGCACUCCUCCAGUAGCGGCUGCACGUCGUGCCAAUGGCCCGCUAUGAGGAGGUGAGCGUGUCCGGCUUCGAGGAGUUCCACCGGGCCGUGGAACAGCACAAUGGCAAGACCAUUUUCGCCUACUUUACGGGUUCUAAGGACGCCGGGGGGAAAAGCUGGUGCCCCGAUUGCGUGCAGGCUGAACCAGUCGUACGAGAGGGGCUGAAGCACAUUAGUGAAGGAUGUGUGUUCAUCUACUGCCAAGUAGGAGAAAAGCCUUAUUGGAAAGAUCCAAAUAAUGACUUCAGAAAAAACUUGAAAGUAACAGCAGUGCCUACACUACUUAAGUAUGGAACAGUAAGUAUCUUUAAAUAUGCUGGGCCUGUAAU
rnacentral:sRNA from 1 species